GAUGAACGCUGGCGGCGUGCUUAACACAUGCAAGUCGAACGAAGCACUUUAACCUGAUUCUUCGGAUGAAGGCUUUUGUGACUGAGUGGCGGACGGGUGAGUAACGCGUGGGUAACCUGCCUCAUACAGGGGGAUAACAGUUAGAAAUGACUGCUAAUACCGCAUAAGACCACAGAGCCGCAUGGCUCGGUGGGAAAAACUCCGGUGGUAUGAGAUGGACCCGCGUCUGAUUAGGUAGUUGGUGGGGUAACGGCCUACCAAGCCAACGAUCAGUAGCCGACCAGAGAGGGUGACCGGCCACAUUGGGACUGAGACACGGCCCAAACUCCUACGGGAGGCAGCAGUGGGGAAUAUUGCACAAUGGGGGAAACCCUGAUGCAGCGACGCCGCGUGAGCGAAGAAGUAUUUCGGGAUGUAAAGCUCUAUCAGCAGGGAAGAAAAUGACGGUACCUGACUAAGAAGCACCGGCUAAAUACGUG
rnacentral:rRNA from 1 species